AUUGAACGCUGGCGGCAGGCCUAACACAUGCAAGUCGAGCGAGCGGCGGACGGGUGAGUAAUGUAUGGGGACUGCCCGAUAGAGGGGGAUAACUACUGGAAACGGUGGCUAAUACCGCAUACUAUCGGAUAACCCAUAUGGGAUUAGCUAGUAGGUGGGGUAAAGGCUCACCUAGGCGACGAUCUCUAGCUGGUCUGAGAGGAUGAUCGGCCACACUGGAACUGAGACACGCCCCAGACUCCUACGGGGGCGACGGUGGGAAAUAUUGCACAAUGGGCGCAAGCCUGAUGCAGCCAUGCCGCGUGUAUGAAGAAGGCCUUGGGGUUGUAAAUUACUUUCAGCGGGGAGGCGUUACCCGCAAAAGAGGCACCGGCUAACUCCGUGCCAGCGGCCGCGUAAUUC
rnacentral:rRNA from 1 species